rnacentral:rRNA from 1 species
UGGGGAAUAUUGCGCGAUGGGCGAAAGCCUGACGCAGCAACGCCGCGUGGGCGAUGAAGGCCUUCGGGUCGUAAAGCCCUGUCAGAGGGGACGAACGGAUCGGGGAGGAAAUGCCCCGGUAUUGACGGUACCCUCAGAGGAAGCACCGGCUAACUCCGUGCCAGCAGCCGCGGUAAUACGGGGGGUGCUAGCGUUGUUCGGAAUUACUGGGCGUAAAGCGCGUGUAGGCGGGUGACUAAGUCAGGUGUGAAAUCCCGUGGCUUAACUACGGACGUGCACUUGAAACUGGUCGUCUGGAGUGCGGUAGAGGGAAGGGGAAUUCCCGGUGUAGAGGUGAAAUUCGUAGAUAUCGGGAGGAAUACCGGUGGCGAAGGCGCCUUCCUGGGCCGUUACUGACGCU